AGACCCCAGGUCAGGCGGGAUUACC
rnacentral:rRNA from 1 species